UUCUGCGCCGCGCAGCCGCAGAGAAAACGGGGUGGGGAGAGACGGAGAGGGGGCGCUCGGCGGCCAUGUUGGUGGUGUUGGGUUCGCCGUUCGGGCGGAGGAAAGGCCGGGGAAAUCGGAUUAAAAUGUCGGCAAGGGGAGGGCGGGAGCUGAGUGCUCAGGGUCGAGUAAGGAAAGGGAGGAAACAGCGAGGGGGUCGCGCCGCUUCUCUCUCUCCAGACGGACGGGUGGGCGCGGCGGCCAGUAGACCGCGCAGUGCGUUCGGUUAUCACCCGCUCCCCCAGCCUUGACGGUGCGGCGUGCUUAAAUCCCCCCCCCCCGCGAGGGGUCAACCGUGGUGAAGGGGGAGGGGGGCGGUUGCCGAGCAGGAGCGUGCGCAGAACGGCCCGGACGGAGCCCUAGUUGCGCCCGGCUCCCUCUGCCCCGCGGACGGCAGCGGCGCGAGGCCUCUGGCCCAUCAGAGCGAGGCCCGCGGAUGCGUGGCUAGGCCUGUGUCCCGUAGGACUGUUCCUGCCGUUCGUCCACGGAAGUAGGUGUUUUCCCACCGUACCUGUGUGGGCAUUUAGUAGCCCUGAGGAGUCCCUCAAGACACCAAGGCAAUGGACAACGUCAUCUGAGGCCAGAGGCUCCCCAUGCUGUGCAUGUGAUCAGUUCCCAGAAGACUCUCUCCUCUUUCUUCCAGCAUUCUCUCAGUCUUGGCUGGAUUCAGCUCUUCUUCAUCCAGGAUAUACGGAUAUUGAGGAAAUGGAAUGCAACUGUUCCUUCCCUGCCCCUCUUUUUAAGCUGCAGGUACCCAUGAUCAGAGUUUUGAGCCAACACUCUGCCUUCUCCCUCCUCCUACAAAACUACCAGUUGGGAUUGAUGGAGAGGAUGUACUUUAGGCCUUCUUUUAGCUGGAGUCAAAUAAAAAUAUUGCUGUGUUAGUCACUGAAGAAAAGGUAAAUGAUGGUGUAUGUUGUUGGAUCAAAAUGGCAAAAAUGUCUUACACCUCAUGGUUCCUCUUUCAGGUGUAUGUGGAUGUUACAAAAAAGCAGUUUUACCAAGUGCAGCAGUCUUUUCCUAGUUUCCUAAGGGUUUUUUUAAGAGGGUUGGGAUAUAUAAUUGAAGAACAGCUGACUAAGCUUUUCAAAUUAAAUCUGGCCUAGAUCUGUGCAGCUGGAACCUCUUCAUAUUAAGCAAAAGUGGUAAGUAUUUUGAUGGAAUACUUAAUGUUUGUUUUUUCCUUCUGUAAAAUAUUUUAGCAGAUAACAUACAGAACAGUGUUGUCAGAGAUGAAUCAGACUGCUUUUUCAUCUUUAAGACAGGCUUCCUGACCAGCAAACAGUGAAGUGUGGUGUGCAGAUUCUAGAAACAACUUUCUUCAAUGGAUGAUGUGUGGGAAGCUGCUUUGUACACCUUCAUGGCUAUCCCCUAUUUUUAGGAAUACACAGUUUUACUUUGAUUCCAAUGUUUUGUUUGCCUAAAGAAAAUAGGUUUCUUCUUCCCAUGAAGACAAAGAAGGUUGAUGCUCUUGUCACAGCAGUUGCCAGGGAAGGCUAACUUAAGCAGGGGGCAGUUGCAACAUCAAGUUGGCUUCUUAAGGAUACCAGUGCUUUAACUACAGAAGAAUCUCUUCAUGUAUCAUGGACGUCUUUCUCCUCAGUUCAAUACCAGUUACAUGACAGAACAGGAAGUAAAAUAUACUGCAAAUCUUAGCCAUUAAGUUCCUAGAAAUCCUAUUGCUGCUGCAGCAGACCCUUACUAGGAACUUCCUGGCAGCAGUGGGGAUACAACGGAGAUCUUCCUGAUCUAGAACUCAGGCCCCUCUCACUUUAGCUAGAGGAGAAUGUUUGUAGUAGAGGAAUUAUCCUGUAGAGUGAAGUUACUUUCCCUCUAGCAAACAGAGCACAUGCAAGUCAGCUCCUUACAAUGUUAUCCAAUAAACACUUCAGGGAGAGUAAUACAGGUAAUAUGUAACUUCUAAAAGUGAGGGCAGGCUUCAUGAUCAGUUAACGUGUGCCCUCAGGAAAAAAUAGCAGCACGUGACCCAUGGCUUAUCUUUAUCUGUACUCUACCUCCCUUAAUUCUAAGCCAGAUGAUUUGAAGCAGCGGGAAGAGUGCCAAAUGCUGACUGGUCAACAUUUCUUGGAGUUGACUGUGGUCUAGAAAGGUCCCCUAGCCAAGUAGUAAUCUAGUGUUACUCUCCAGAGCUUUUUUUUACUCUUUAACAGUCUGAUCACACAAGAGGAUAUGGAUACAGCCUGAGCUAGCACCUUAUAACUAUUCCGUGGUUUUGAUAUGCUGAGAACUAUUUUCAAGCCCAAAACACUUCCUAAACACAAAGCUAUUUUGAAGAAGGUUGAAAGUAACCCAUGGAACUCCAGUUAACAACCCCCCUCCAUUCCCCACCCCUCCCACCCCCUUGUACAACUUAAAGCCAAAUGUUUUAGUCUGGAAAUGAACUGUUGAGAGCUAAUCAUUUUACUACUACUGUGCAAGUCUUCCUCUACUGCCCACUGAACUUAACUCAGCUCCCUGAAAUUUGCAAAGAUACUCACGUAAAGGGGAAGAUAGCUGUAUACAAAAAGGCAAAAAUUUAAUCUUAUUUCCUAUUCGAGGGAUUAACUUUCCAUAUAGUCUAAGAAUCCUUUAUCUGCAUUUGGAGAGCACAGGCUCUGCCAAAGUUCCAUUAGCUUCCAUAUUGCUCAGCCUAGUCAGGUCCAGUUGCCAGAUUAAGGCCACAGGUCUCAACAUGUUUUAAAAAAAAAUCCACUAAACUGCAUAUGCUUCUUGCUAUAUGCUAUAGCUUUAAACUUGCAUGCUCUCCAUACACUUACAUAAAAUACCAUAACUCGUAUUACAUAACACCUGUCUGCUGUUGCUCAACUCCAGCAGCACAUUACACUGAGAAAAGACAUGUACCUGAUAAGACUAGGUACCUUCACUACACAUUUAUGGCCUGAUUUACAGAAGUCCUGUCUGCCCUCAGAUCCCACUAAUGAUCAUGGGAGCUGCAGAAUCCUAGCACCUGUGACAGUCAGGCCAUUAACUUAAAAAAUAAAGUGAUUUUUUUUUAAAUUGCAAAAAACCCCACCUCCCUAAAGGUAAGAUUGAAAAAAAUAGGUGGGUUUCUGGCAGGCUUCAGUAUAUCUGUGGGAUGUGUGUAAGAGUGGGAGCUAGCGAGUGAAAGGCAAUGGGGGGGUUGCAGAAAGAGGCUGAUACACAUAGUUGCUGGUCCUGUGCAUCCCUUCUGUUUACCUUCUAGUGUUCUGCAUUAUAGGGGACUAGGGAGACAGGACUUCUAUGGCUCAUGUCAUUGUCUCUACUUUUGUGCACUCCUUUAUUUCCCACCAUUCCACUUCUGCUUCCAUUCCCUUGCUUGAUUCUUUGCACACCAGUCUGCUUUCUUUAUAAAAACCUUGCUUCCAGGAAAGCUUGGAAGCACUGCUGACACUACCUUGGGUUCUCUGCCAGCUUCCCUUCCAGGCUGAGUAGUUCAGGUGGUUUCAUUUGGCAGUAUUAUACCAUGUAAUAGCAUGUAACCUAGAGGACUGAGUAAGAGGCUAAUUCCUGGCACCAGUUCACUUCAGUCACUUUUACAUGUGGUCAUGCUGCUAUCACAUAACAGGGAUAUUAUCCAGUAGUUACUCUUAACAGUAGUUGGUUUCAGUUUGCACUACCUCUAUGUAGAGGGCUACUGUUCUGCCCUUGCAAAGAUUUGGAAAAAAAAAAAAAAUACAGGGUGGGAGAGAAGUAACUGGAUUGCUUAUUUGCCCCACCUCUUGAUUUUGGAAUUUAUACAGAAUAUUACCAUGACACUAGUUUACCAUUUAGCCUUUGGAUCUAAUAAAGGAAUUUAUGGUUAUUUAUACAAUUGCUCUAAAUAUCCCCAAAAAGGUAAUUAAUUACCUCAACAGUAAUAUAACAAGCAUUUGAUCAGGAUACUUAAAUUGGGUAAAGUCAGGGCUGCUUAGAUCCAUUUUGGUCAGCUCCAACUUGAUCAGAUCAGUGCUAGGAAUUAAUUUGAGCUUUUUAUAUCCUUUAAACAGACAAGUAAUUUCAUUGCCAAUUAUCAGGUGUUAGCUAAGAUCAGAUGGGAGUUUUAUAUAGUCAUUUAUUGCACCUGGUAUCCAAUUAACUUGUUACUUCAGGCCAAACCUCAAGAUAGAUAACACUGGUAUUCUGAAGGGUCACUAAGUUUAACAUUCUCCUGGUCUCUUUUUGGGCCUACUCAAGCUAAUAUCCCAACUCUGUUUUAAAGCCAUAGUUUACCCAGAUCUAAGGUGACCCUAUAUUCUCACAUUUGAGCAGCAGGACCUAGAAUUUUUUGUGUCGUGCUAUUCCUCCAACUCUAAGCAUUGGGUCCAAAGUGCAUUAAAAUGAAUGGGAGUCUUUCCAAUGAGCUUUAAAAUCAGGCCCUGAUCGCAGUCAGGAGCUAUAUACACACACAUCUCAUUGCAGCAGGGGAUUUAGAUAUUUUCAAUUCUCUCCUCCCCUAGGAAGACCUUCCACUAGGUUGGGAGGAAAGGAGUUGGCUGUGUAUGCUAGGGAGGCCAAUGAUGUGGGUUGAUUCUCAACUGUUUUGGCUAGGCUUUCAUACUAUGCGGGGGUGUUCUCAAUGUUUUGAGGCACAAUGGUCCUUUAUUUCUGUUCUGCCCUUUAGCAGAUAUACCAUUUUUUAAAAAGAGUAAAGCUUUGACACUUAAACAGCGUGCAAUUUAAAAAAAUUUCAGAAGUGAAAAAAAAAAAGUAUGGCUUAGGGCACUAGCCUUUUGAUCAACAUUAGUAGAGGAUUUUUUUUUCUCCCAAUCUAAGAAACACUUAACAGUUUGAGCAGAGAGCUAAAUGGCUAUUUUUGCCAUGUGCUUAUUCAAGGAGUGCAGGCUGUAUGUAAUUCUCACAACCCUAUUUUUGUGGUAAAUUGAUUUUUGGUUACAGCAAAAUGCUGUUCUGUACCUGUGACAGCCUCCUUUAUGUGAGCAAACACUGGAACAGCUACUGAACUCUGCUGCUUGGUAGGGUUAUGCUGAUGGAUAUUUACUUAGCGUUUGUCUACACUUAACAUAUGCUGCUGUAGCACUUCAGUGUAGGUACUACCUCUGCCAAUGGGAGGAAUUCUUCCAUUGGUGUAGAUAAUCUACCUCCCCCAGAGGUAGGAGUUAGGUUGACAAGAAUUUUUCCAUCAACACAACACUCUCCACACAGGGAUUUGGGUCAUCUUAAUCAUGGAUUUUUCACAGUCUGAUGGACACAAUUAAACCAACCUAAUUUUCUAGUUUAGACCAGGGUUUAGAAACCUCUCUGUGGAGGAGGGGCAAAGGAGAACUUGCCCUACCCUAGGUAACAUUUUACCCAUCCUUGGCUCAUUAAUGCUCAUCUUGUAAGUCUGACUCAUGAGCCAGUGGACUGUUUGGCAGCAUUUUUCCAGCAGGUGGUUUUCAAGCCUGCAAUUACACCUUUUAAAAUUGAGUCUGCAAGCAGUGUUGGAGGCUGCUGGCUACAGCUCUAUUAAAGGUUUCAGAGUAGCAGCCGUAUUAGUCUGCAUUCGCAAAAAGGAAAGGAGUACUUGUGGCACCUCAG